UGAACUUAAGUAUGUUUUUGUUUAAUUUGUACACAAAGACUGAUGUACAAGUGCAAAAAAUAAAUCCUCCUUUGCAGGCCAGAACUCACUGAGCAGUGUGAGUUUUGACACACAAGCAGCAAUAGG